AUUGAACGCUGGCGGCAGGCCUAACACAUGCAAGUCGAACGAGUGGCGGACGGGUGAGUAAUGUCUGGAAAACUGCCUGAUGGAGGGGGAUAACUACUGGAAACGGUAGCUAAUACCGCAUACCAUCAGAUCUGCCCAGAUGGGAUUAGCUAGUUGGUGGGGUAACGGCUCACCAGGGCGACGCUCCCUAGCUGGUCUGAGAGGAUGACCAGCCACACUGGAACUGAGACACGGUCCAGACUCCUACGGGAGGCAGCAGUGGGGAAUAUUGGACAAUGGGCGAAAGCCUGAUGGUGCCAUGCCGCGUGUAUGAAGAAGGCUUUCGGGUUGUAAAGUACUUUCAGCGGGGAGGCGUUACCCGAAGAAGAAGCACCGGCUAACUCCGUGCCAGCAGCCGCGGUAAUAC
rnacentral:rRNA from 1 species